AUUACUGAAGAGGGGGCAGUCCCUCGUAACUCGUAUAUUAU
rnacentral:guide_RNA from 1 species